CCGACAUAUUACAGAUCGAAACUUAAGACAAAAAUAUCUCUGUCUCUUUCUACUGUCUCAAACUCAUCGAUAUGUGAAGCUCCAUACUCGGAUCUUUGUUUAUCUCAGUUACCAUCCAAAGGCUGUCUCGUCCUCAUCGAUCUGUGAAGAUCCAUAAUCGGAUCUUUGUCUAUCUCAGUUACCAUCGAAAGGCUAUCUCGUCCUCAUCGAUCUAUACUUUACGUUUUGCUUGUAGUGUAGAUUGAGCUGCUAAAUAAUUGUCUCUCUGUUACAAUCCAAAAUUGUUGUCUAGAAAUCUCUAUAGUGGCAUCAUCUUCACUAUAUUUCGAGCUGGAAUCAUUUUUUUUUUUUGAGCAAAGCUGGAAUCAUUUCUGAUCUGAAAAUAAUAGUUUUUAUUUCUAGAAAACUAUCAGAAGCAUCAAUAAAAUCUGAGCUAGACAUCUGCUAGAAAAAAUGAUCUCUAAAAAUAAUAAUUUACGUUUUGCUUGUAGUGUAGAUUGCUUGUCUAGAAAUCUCUAUUGUCUAUCUCAUAUUUCGAGCUGGAAUCAUUUCUGAUCUGAAAAUAAUAGUUUUUUUUUUAAAUUUACAUGCAGGAUCAAAUGAAAAAAGAAUCUUAUGGAAGCUGUUCUGGAUAAAGUUAAUUUAUGUCUGUGAAGUAUGAUAGACGAAAACCUAUCUGAGAUUCUUUGUCUCGAUAUGAUCAAAACAUAGCUCAGAGGUGAUCCACAGCUAUCGAAGCUUGUACCAGAGUAAAUGAGAGCAAGGGAUUAAGUAAGCACAUUAACAUGGAUCUUUUGGCCGAGCUCUUAGAUCAUUCCUUUCUUGAGACAGCCAAUGGAGAAAAAAACAGUUCUUCCAACUUGAUAAAAGGAUUAUGGAGUGCAAUCAGGGAUGUUCACAUUUUCCAUUGGCUUAACAUGUAUGGAGCACUUUAACUUGAACACGCCAUUCUGACUUGAAUGGUCUUAUGUCAGCCAAAGUUGUGACUUCCAUGCUUAAAGAUUUGAUCAUACUCUGUGAGGAUAUCUAUCCGUACAGAGUUUUGCUCUCGUGAUCGGUUCUUUUGCAAGAGAGAGAGUCCGCACGAAGAUUGAAAGAUCGAGGGAGAUAAACAAAUCCGAGAUUCUCUAAAGAGAGUUUUAAGGUAUUUAAUCUCAUCAAGCUCGGGUGCAAGAGUAGGCUAAGGCCAACACAUUUUCAUGCGCGGACUCUCCGUUUAUGCAAUCUUUUUUUGGUAUUCUGUGAGAGCCUUAUAUAUCUUCUGAAGAGACGACCCUACUUUCGUAAUGACGGAUAUAAACUAGACUUUCCAAUAGGGCUAUGGGGUAACACAAAACUUUGGAGAGAUGCAAACUUUUAGAAUGUUAAACCAACGAGACAAUAUGUCUUUUUAGUUUGGGAUUAAACAAAAAUGCAAUACGACUUUAUUGUGCUUGGACAU